GGGUUGUGAGGUUAAGCGACUAAGCGUACACGGUGGAUGCCCUGGCAGUCAGAGGCGAUGAAGGACGUGCUAAUCUGCGAUAAGCGUCGGUAAGGUGAUAUGAACCGUUAUAACCGGCGAUUUCCGAAUGGGGAAACCCAGUGUGAUUCGUCACACUAUCAUUAACUGAAUCCAUAGGUUAAUGAGGCGAACCGGGGGAACUGAAACAUCUAAGUACCCCGAGGAAAAGAAAUCAACCGAGAUUCCCCCAGUAGCGGCGAGCGAACGGGGAGCAGCCCAGAGCCUGAAUCAGUGUGUGUGUUAGUGGAAGCGUCUGGAAAGGCGCGCGAUACAGGGUGACAGCCCCGUACACAAAAAUGCACAUACUGUGAGCUCGAUGAGUAGGGCGGGACACGUGGUAUCCUGUCUGAAUAUGGGGGGACCAUCCUCCAAGGCUAAAUACUCCUGACUGACCGAUAGUGAACCAGUACCGUGAGGGAAAGGCGAAAAGAACCCCGGCGAGGGGAGUGAAAAAGAACCUGAAACCGUGUACGUACAAGCAGUGGGAGCACGCUUAGGCGUGUGACUGCGUACCUUUUGUAUAAUGGGUCAGCGACUUAUAUUCUGUAGCAAGGUUAACCGAAUAGGGGAGCCGAAGGGAAACCGAGUCUUAACUGGGCGUUAAGUUGCAGGGUAUAGACCCGAAACCCGGUGAUCUAGCCAUGGGCAGGUUGAAGGUUGGGUAACACUAACUGGAGGACCGAACCGACUAAUGUUGAAAAAUUAGCGGAUGACUUGUGGCUGGGGGUGAAAGGCCAAUCAAACCGGGAGAUAGCUGGUUCUCCCCGAAAGCUAUUUAGGUAGCGCCUCGUGAAUUCAUCUCCGGGGGUAGAGCACUGUUUCGGCAAGGGGGUCAUCCCGACUUACCAACCCGAUGCAAACUGCGAAUACCGGAGAAUGUUAUCACGGGAGACACACGGCGGGUGCUAACGUCCGUCGUGAAGAGGGAAACAACCCAGACCGCCAGCUAAGGUCCCAAAGUCAUGGUUAAGUGGGAAACGAUGUGGGAAGGCCCAGACAGCCAGGAUGUUGGCUUAGAAGCAGCCAUCAUUUAAAGAAAGCGUAAUAGCUCACUGGUCGAGUCGGCCUGCGCGGAAGAUGUAACGGGGCUAAACCAUGCACCGAAGCUGCGGCAGCGACGCUGAUGCGUUGUUGGGUAGGGGAGCGUUCUGUAAGCCUGCGAAGGUGUGCUGUGAGGCAUGCUGGAGGUAUCAGAAGUGCGAAUGCUGACAUAAGUAACGAUAAAGCGGGUGAAAAGCCCGCUCGCCGGAAGACCAAGGGUUCCUGUCCAACGUUAAUCGGGGCAGGGUGAGUCGACCCCUAAGGCGAGGCCGAAAGGCGUAGUCGAUGGGAAACAGGUUAAUAUUCCUGUACUUGGUGUUACUGCGAAGGGGGGACGGAGAAGGCUAUGUUGGCCGGGCGACGGUUGUCCCGGUUUAAGCGUGUAGGCUGGUUUUCCAGGCAAAUCCGGAAAAUCAAGGCUGAGGCGUGAUGACGAGGCACUACGGUGCUGAAGCAACAAAUGCCCUGCUUCCAGGAAAAGCCUCUAAGCAUCAGGUAACAUCAAAUCGUACCCCAAACCGACACAGGUGGUCAGGUAGAGAAUACCAAGGCGCUUGAGAGAACUCGGGUGAAGGAACUAGGCAAAAUGGUGCCGUAACUUCGGGAGAAGGCACGCUGAUAUGUAGGUGAAGUCCCUCGCGGAUGGAGCUGAAAUCAGUCGAAGAUACCAGCUGGCUGCAACUGUUUAUUAAAAACACAGCACUGUGCAAACACGAAAGUGGACGUAUACGGUGUGACGCCUGCCCGGUGCCGGAAGGUUAAUUGAUGGGGUUAGCCGCAAGGCGAAGCUCUUGAUCGAAGCCCCGGUAAACGGCGGCCGUAACUAUAACGGUCCUAAGGUAGCGAAAUUCCUUGUCGGGUAAGUUCCGACCUGCACGAAUGGCGUAAUGAUGGCCAGGCUGUCUCCACCCGAGACUCAGUGAAAUUGAACUCGCUGUGAAGAUGCAGUGUACCCGCGGCAAGACGGAAAGACCCCGUGAACCUUUACUAUAGCUUGACACUGAACAUUGAGCCUUGAUGUGUAGGAUAGGUGGGAGGCUUAGAAGUGUGGACGCCAGUCUGCAUGGAGCCGACCUUGAAAUACCACCCUUUAAUGUUUGAUGUUCUAACGUUGACCCGUAAUCCGGGUUGCGGACAGUGUCUGGUGGGUAGUUUGACUGGGGCGGUCUCCUCCUAAAGAGUAACGGAGGAGCACGAAGGUUGGCUAAUCCUGGUCGGACAUCAGGAGGUUAGUGCAAUGGCAUAAGCCAGCUUGACUGCGAGCGUGACGGCGCGAGCAGGUGCGAAAGCAGGUCAUAGUGAUCCGGUGGUUCUGAAUGGAAGGGCCAUCGCUCAACGGAUAAAAGGUACUCCGGGGAUAACAGGCUGAUACCGCCCAAGAGUUCAUAUCGACGGCGGUGUUUGGCACCUCGAUGUCGGCUCAUCACAUCCUGGGGCUGAAGUAGGUCCCAAGGGUAUGGCUGUUCGCCAUUUAAAGUGGUACGCGAGCUGGGUUUAGAACGUCGUGAGACAGUUCGGUCCCUAUCUGCCGUGGGCGCUGGAGAACUGAGGGGGGCUGCUCCUAGUACGAGAGGACCGGAGUGGACGCAUCACUGGUGUUCGGGUUGUCAUGCCAAUGGCACUGCCCGGUAGCUAAAUGCGGAAGAGAUAAGUGCUGAAAGCAUCUAAGCACGAAACUUGCCCCGAGAUGAGUUCUCCCUGACUCCUUGAGAGUCCUGAAGGAACGUUGAAGACGACGACGUUGAUAGGCCGGGUGUGUAAGCGCAGCGAUGCGUUGAGCUAACCGGUACUAAUGAACCGUGAGGCUUAACCUUACAACGCCGAAG
rnacentral:rRNA from 1 species